rnacentral:rRNA from 1 species
GACGAACGCUGGCGGCGUGCCUAAUACAUGCAAGUAGGCCCCAGUUGCGAACGGGUGAGUAACGCGUAGGAACCUGCCUGUUAGAGGGGGAUAACUAUUGGAAACGAUAGCUAAUACCGUACGCUAGUCGAUGGACCUUAGUUGUAUUAGCUAGUAGGUAAGGUAAUGGCCUACCAAGGCGACGAUCCGUAACUGGUCUGAGAGGAGGUUCAGGCACACUGGAACUGAGACACGGCCCAGACGCCUACGGGAGGCAGCAGUGGGGAAUAUUGGACAAUGGGCGAAAGCCUGAUCCAGCCAUGCCGCGUGUGUGAAGAAGGUCUUCGGAUUGUAAAGCACUUUAAGUUGGGAGGCGUUACCAACAGAAUAAGCACCGGCUAACUUCGUGCCAGCCGCCGCGGUAAUAC